rnacentral:rRNA from 1 species
GAUGAACGCUGGCGGCGUGCCUAAUACAUGCAAGUCGAGCGAACGGACGAGAAGCUUGCUUUUCUGAUGUUAGCGGCGGACGGGUGAGUAACACGUGGAUAACCUACCUAUAAGACUGGGAUAACUUCGGGAAACCGGAGCUAAUACCGGAUAAUAUUUUGAACCGCAUGGUUCAAAAGUGAAAGACGGUCUUGCUGUCACUUAUAGAUGGAUCCGCGCUGCAUUAGCUAGUUGGUAAGGUAACGGCUUACCAAGGCAACGAUGCAUAGCCGACCUGAGAGGGUGAUCGGCCACACUGGAACUGAGACACGGUCCAGACUCCUACGGGAGGCAGCAGUAGGGAAUCUUCCGCGAUGGGCGAAAGCCGGACGGUGCGACGCCGCGUGAGUGAUGAAGGUCUUCGGAUCGUAAAACUCUGUUAGUAGGGAAGAACAUAUGUGUAAGUAACUGUGCACAUCGUGACGGUACCUAAUCAGAAAGCCACGGCUAACUACGUG